UGGAACAGUCUUCCUGACGGACGUUGCACAGACCUUCAUUCCUCAACUUGGUGAUCUCUGGAAUCUGGUCUUUACAAAAUUAGCAUAUGUUGAUUGGUUGGAAGGGGUUUAAAAGGACCAAGCCCCGCCCACCAGGCAGGCGAGGGAGUUUGGAUGAGCACCUGCAUGUUCACGUCACUCUGAACCUCUUUCCCGCUCCUCUGGCUGCAGUCAUGUGAACCGAACCCAGGGAAGCAGACGCAGCCGGACUCGGAGCACUGGCCAUUCCCAUUGCACAGGUCCGGACACCUCAGGACGGACGCGGCGUCCCGGUGCUCCUUCCACCUCCUCUGCUCUUCC